UCGAAGCCUCACAAGCAAUGCGACCCCGUGAAUUUGUUUUACUACUCAGGGGUGGCUAGAGGUGUUUUGCACCUCGGCCCCCCUCGUGUCAGGAGGCGCCACAUCCUGUGCGGUCUCCUCCUGGCCUAAUAACAAAACCCCGGCGCCGAACGCGCCAAGGAAAUUGAAAUCGUUUAGUUCGCCCCCGUCGGCACCGGAGACGGUGCCUGUGCGGGCUGCGUUGCGACACGCUUAUCCUAA
rnacentral:rRNA from 1 species